rnacentral:tRNA from 1 species
UGGCUCAGACAGUAAAGCGUCUGCCUGCAAUGCUGGAGACCCAGGUUCGAUCCCUGG